AUUGAACGCUGGCGGCAUGCCUUACACAUGCAAGUCGAACGGUAACAGGUCUUCGGAUGCUGACGAGUGGCGAACGGGUGAGUAAUACAUCGGAACGUGCCUAGUAGUGGGGGAUAACUACUCGAAAGAGUGGCUAAUACCGCAUGAGAUCUACGGAUGAAAGCAGGGGAUCGCAAGACCUUGUGCUACUAGAGCGGCCGAUGGCAGAUUAGGUAGUUGGUGGGAUAAAAGCUUACCAAGCCGACGAUCUGUAGCUGGUCUGAGAGGACGAUCAGCCAAACUGGGACUGCGAAACGGCCCAGACUCCUACGGGAGGCAGCAGUGGGGAAUUUUGGACAAUGGGCGCAAGCCUGAUCCAGCAAUGCCGCGUGCAGGAUGAAGGCCUUCGGGUUGUAAACUGCUUUUGUACGGAACGAAAAGCCCCGGGUUAAUACCCUGGGGUCAUGACGGUACCGUAAGAAUAAGCACCGGCUAACUACGUGCCAGCAGCCGCCGUAA
rnacentral:rRNA from 1 species